rnacentral:lncRNA from 1 species
UGGAGGUCCACGUGGUGGCGCUGCACCACGGAGCAGCGCGGUUCGGUGGGCUCCGGGCGCUGCACAGCCUUGGGAGCCGGGGACGCGGGCGAGCGGGCGGUGCUCUCCGCAGCCGCGGGGUAAUGGUACGGGUAUGGUGGGUACGGGAGAAGCCCUGGCAGCUCCCCCUCGGGCUGAGCCCGGACGCCCUCGGGAAGGGGCGUGCGGAGCACUGCGGCCUCCGGCGUCCCCUUGUACUUGAUCUUCAGGGUCUUGGCGUUCCUGCGGUCCAGCCUGACGCCGAACUGCUGCUCCACCGCCUCCAGGGCCGUGGCGUCCAGCAUUUCGCGGAAGCG